AUUGAACGCUAGCGGGAUGCUUUACACAUGCAAGUCGGACGAGUGGCGAACGGGUGAGUAACGCAUCGGAACGUACCGAGUAAUGGGGGAUAACUGUCCGAAAGGACAGCUAAUACCGCAUAUUAUUCGAGCGGCCGAUGUCUGAUUAGCUGGUUGGCGGGGUAAAGGCUCACCAAGGCAACGAUCAGUAGCGGGUUUGAGAGGAUGAUCAGCCACACUGGGACUGAGACACGGCCCAGACUCCUACGGGAGGCAGCAGUGGGGAAUUUUGGACAAUGGGCGAAAGCCUGAUCCAGCCAUGCCGCGUGUCUGAAGAAGGCCUUCGGGUUGUAAAGGACUUUUGGCAGGGAAGCGGUACCUGAAGAAUAAGCACCGGCUAACUACGUGCCAGCAGCCGCGGUAAUUC
rnacentral:rRNA from 1 species